rnacentral:sRNA from 1 species
AGGACUCCAUAGUGAAACUCUGUCUUAAGAACAAACACCUUUCUGAGAGCAGCCUCCAGAGCCCACCAGCCUCCUUUGAUAGAGACCUUGAAGACCUUCAAAGAUUGGGCUCCUGCGGUGACAAUGAGGGUGUAGAAUUUCUACCUCCCUCAGUGGCUGGGUCUGCCUGGUAGAGCCGAUUGCCGUUGCAUAUCUGGGCUCACUGUAGGUUUCUUGAGAUGUCCCAGGUACUAGAAGUCUGGGGAAAGAGAGGACAUAGAGCAUCUCCUCCUGCAAAAUGGGGACAGCUCGUGUGGCCACUGCUCACGGGUCCUUGCAUGCUGGGGCAGUGUUUGCCUCUCUCUUCCUCAGAGGAACCCCUUUUCCUUCCAUGAAGGAGGAAUGGGGUUUCUCCCUCUCGCUUCAGAGAACUUUGUUCUCGAGACCAGGGACAGCUUCAGUAUCCGGGUUGUGCUUGGCGCCCACGCUCACCACGGGGCCCUGCUGAAAGAGUGAAUUCCAAGUGCGUGGAGGGCUGUGGAUGACGUGUAUGAGUGUGAGUCUGUCAUGGAGCUAACCACCCAGGGCAGAGAUUUUUAUAACGGGAGCCUUGGUGAGCCUGUGCCUUAAUACCUGGGCACAGUGGACCCGAGGGAAAUUUGUCUCUGGAACAUCCCGGCUGAGCCUAAGAUCUAUACUGGCUGGGAACAGGAUGAUAAGUGGAGUUCCCUUUACCACAGGGCAAGGAAGUCUUCAGGGCUGUCCACAGUGAGCCUCUCUGCUAUCCCACAAGGGGGUCCUGUGCCAUAAGCAGUGGAUAGAGAAGAAGGCGUGAGAAAUGGGAGGCGCGUGCCUGACUCGCAGCCCAGACUCCUCCCCGCAGCUCUCGGCUCCGUACUUCUGUCUGAGUUAGUACAAAAGCCCUGCCCCACUCGUGGUCUCUUGCCCUGCGCUCCCAGCUCAAGAGCGCCAUGCGCCCAGCACGUCUUCCUCACUCCGGGGAUCAGCUCACGGAGUUUUAAAACCUACCGAGCUGGGUCGCCACAAAAUCCCGCAGCGCCACAACUUGGGGAAACGGUGACGGAGAUGUGGCCACACCGACCAUCUAAAGCGACCCCCAACUCCGAUGAAGCCUGGCUGGAAAGACGCGGCUUCCAUCCUGGGAGCCUGGAGGAGAAUCGAGCAGUGGCUAUUGCCUGGGCUUGCCUGGGCUUGUUCAGACAGGACUGCUCCCCUCGGUGACUGCACAGAUUGGGGGCUUUGGGAGACGUUGCCAGAAUCUGGAAGCCAAGGCCGGGGGCUACAGGGGCCCGGGGUCUGCGCACCUGCUCGCCGCGGAGCUCAGGAGUGCGUCCAGACAAACAACUUGACGGAGGAAAGCAAGAGAAAUGUAUUCGCUCGCAGUUCUGCAAGCCAAAAGUUUGAAACACAGCAGCGUCCACCCGUCUGUUGUCUCUGUGAAGGGAUCCCGCCCCAGCUUCCGAAGUCUGCCUGGGCCUGUGAUCCAGGGUCUGGUGUGGGAGGAAGGCAGAAGCCUGACUAUGAGGACAGAAGGGUCAGAAUACUAGUCGGACUACCAGAACCUGCCCAGGUACUGCCCCAGCGUGGAGGACGGCUGCUGGAACAAAGCCUAGUGUGUCUGUCGGCUCCCCUUGGGGUAGCUGAGCAAAGGUGUCGGCUUUGAGUUGCGGCUUCAUAAAGUGUUCCUCGGAGACAGGCACACCCUGAAUGAUGCCUGAGACCUGCUGGGCCGCUCCCAGCCACAGGCAGCUGCCUCCUGUUGCUAUGUGAAUUCCAUCAGGGUUCUCUCUGCUCCUUUCUCUGCCCCUCUGCUACCUUAGGAAAAAUGGGGGGUCUGGGGUCUGUAUUUCCGGUUUGAGUUUUACAGUUGGGAACCCACCCUGCAUCUACUGGGAAACCCUCCGUGUGCCUCCAGCUUCCUCUUUGGGCUCUUGCCUGCCGGUUCUCUUCGGCUGACUCUCAAAGACUCCCCUUCUUUGGACAGCUCAGAAGCACAUGGUCAGAACCCAAGUGACAGACGUCCAGCUGGCUUCAUCGCAACUGCGUCUGUGACCUUCCACCCAGACAGGGCUGUGUGUUGUAGAUGCUCCCCCUAUGCCAGGCACGGGGUGAAAGGGAAGAGAAGCGAAAUCUGCCUGCUCAGACCUCUUGAUCCUGGGUAACAAGGAAAUUGCCCUUGAUGCUCUCAGUCUAGGGCUCCGCCCCCCAGCUCAGCUAUGCCAAUCAGCACCUUGGUGAAUCCACCAAGCCAAGCCAUCCCCUUAACAAACCAGCAGCCCCCAAGAAUUCAGGGCUUCUUUCUGACAUCUAGGAGCAAGAGGGACAGAUGGACCCUGUGUGCUCACAGCAGAGUUUAGGAAGGGGACCCCUCACAGCUGAAGGCGGCCUCUGUGCUCCUAGAGGCAGCUGACCAUGCCUUUGCCCGUGGACAGCGCCGGGCCCUGUGGAUUCCAGGGUCUGGAGUAGAGCCAGCCAGCCCAUGGAUGGACAGUGGAACUGCUUUCUCCAAAUAGCUGCCUACAGAGAUAGAGCAGCCCUGAGAUUUGGCCCUGAGCGUGGCCAAGCACAGCUCCAGGCCCCACCCAGCCUCACCCAGCCUCACCCCCAUGACUGACUGGACAGGCCAGCAUGCUCAGGUGUGGAGACUGGGGGUUUUCCUCCCUCUCCCCCCUUCUCCUCUCCUCUCUGUUCUCUCUUUUCUCCAUUAGCUCUUGGAUUAGCAUCCAGAUGACUCAGGGGAGGCGGUCUGGUGCCUGCUUCCCUGGGCAAAGGAGCAGCGGUGGGGAGGGACAAGGAACAGGUGAGUGCACACCUCUGGAGGGGCCCAGGUAGGUGCUGGCAGCUUGCCUAGCUCCUAGCAGCUGUGCUAUGCCUGAGGGGGCAGUGAGCUGAGCAUGUCAGACAGGUGGAGCCAGGCUGCCCGUCCCAGACACACAGGUCCUCUCUUGGGUUACUGAACAGGGAAACACCCUUUCCUUUCCCCCACUGCCUUAGUUCCCUGGCACCUCCAGGGACCACUUCCAACAUCUGAAGAGGACACUGGAAGCGGAGAACGGGUUGCGAAUUCGCUUGGAGAGACCCUGGUUGAGUUCGAGUGUGGAAACACAAUCUUGGCCUUGGAGAAGCACUUGUGGUUUUCAGGCCCUUGGUUCUGAGAAGCCGAUCUCACAAGGAGCCCAAAUGUUUAGUGACAAAUUGAGGGGACAGGUCCAGAAACCUUAGGGAGGUCUGUCACUGGAAGAGAACUCUGGAAGAGAAGCUUUAUUGGGUAAUGUGAGCUUUUUCCUUCCGGGGGAGGGGAGGCUGCCUCUGCUCAGUGACAGCACCUGGCUUUAUUGGGGUGACCCUCUUUGGUUUCUGUAGGGGGGAGAAGGGCUAGACUUCCUCAAAUACAACCAUAAAUUACAGACACUUACUGGGAGUG